GCCUGGGUGGCUCAGUCGGUUGAGCAUCCGACUUCAGCUCAGGUCACGAUCUCACAGUCUUUGGGUUUGAGCCCCACGUCAGGCU
rnacentral:tRNA from 1 species